GACGAACGCUGGCGGCGUGCUUAACACAUGCAAGUCGAACGGAAAGGCCCUGCUUUUGUUGGGUUCUCGAUUGGCGAACGGGUGAGUAACACAUGAGUAACCUGCCCUUGACUUUGUGAUAACUUCAGGAAACUCGGGCUAAUACCGGAUAUGAUCUCCUGCUGCAUGUUGGUGGUUGGAAAGUUUCGGCUGUUGGGGAUGGACUCGCUGCUUAUCAGCUUGUUGGUGGGGUAGUGGCUUACCAAGGCUUUGACGGGUAGCCGGCCUGAGAGGGUGACCGGGCACAUUGGGACUGAGAUACGGACCAGAAUCCUACGGGAGGCAGCAGUGGGGAAUAUUGCACAAUGGGCGGAAGCCUGAUGCAGCAACGCCGCGUGCGGGAUGACGGCCUUCGGGUUGUAAACAGAUUUCGCCUGUGACGAAGAGUGAGUGACGGUAAUGGGUAAAGAAGCACCGGCUAACUACGUG
rnacentral:rRNA from 1 species